GCCGUUGCUGGGCGGCGCUCGAGGGUCUCCGCGCGGCUCGCGCACAGGGAGCGCGAGGUGUAGUGAGGCUGCUUUCUCCAGUUCGGUUCCAGCCUUAAGCCAAAGUUGUUAGGCAAGAAGAGACUGCACCUGUUUUUGCCCUGCACGCACGGUGCGUGCACAAAGUGCAAGCGGGCAGCUGUGAGGCAAUUAGGUAGCCACCUAGAGACAGCAGCUGGCGAAGAUAAAUUCAUCAGCACUUAAGCACCUUUUGUAAAUCAAUGACUAGAUGCUGAGUACGGCAGAAGCCGAAAGUUCCUACCAAUAUUCCAUCCCCUUUUGUUGUUGUGCGACAGGUGGCAGUGGAGGGUCUGACAAAAUGGCCUCUGACAUAAAAGGGCAGAGGAAGCAAAGUCUCCACAGAAAUCAUCAGGAGGCAUUACUUUGGGAGCAACCUACUCAGCACGCGGAGCAGAAGCUAAUGCAACUAGACGAAAAUAGCAACAACACGUCUACAAUUAAACCCACUGAACAAAAGAAAAGCAGCAAAGAGUCACAUUUAAUACAACAUGGUAAAUUAACCCUUUAUUGCGCUUUCAAACAUAUACAUGACAUUUGUCUCCCACAAUUGAGUAUUUCAACACUGAUGCUACAUCUGUCACUUAUAACAUCGCUUGAAGUUGCAACACUUCAGGCACUGAUACUGCAGUUGGCUGAGUUGGAGUUUUAAGUAUUUACAAAGCUAAUUAAUUACAUAACAUUGUAAUAGCAAUAACUUUUAAACAAACAGUUUAUGCAAUACAAAA